rnacentral:rRNA from 1 species
AACGAGCGCUGGCGGCAUGCCUAACACAUGCAAGUCGAACGAAACCUUCGGGUCUAGUGGCGCACGGGUGCGUAACGCGUGGGAACCUGCCCUUAGGUUCGGAAUAACUCCCCGAAAGGGGUGCUAAUACCGGAUAAUGUCUUCGGACCAAAGAUUUAUCGCCUUUGGAUGGGCCCGCGUUGGAUUAGCUAGUUGGUAGGGUAAAAGCCUACCAAGGCGACGAUCCAUAGCUGGUCUGAGAGGAUGAUCAGCCACACUGGGACUGAGACACGGCCCAGACUCCUACGGGAGGGAGCAGUGGGGAAUAUUGGACAAUGGGCGAAAGCCUGAUCCAGCAAUGCCGGGUGAGUGAUGAAGGCCUUAGGGUUGUAAAGCUCUUUUACCCGGGAUGAUAAUGACAGUACCGGGAGAAUAAGCUCCGGCUAACUCCGUG